UGCUUGAAGACAUCAAAUUGCAGUUGAAGUAACGGCAGAGGGAAAAGCAAGGGCAACAACAACAAACCACUUCACUCCUCUGGGUGGAAACAUGCAAUUGUACCAAGAGGGAUAAGGAAAAAACUGCUCAUGUUUGCAGAAAGAAGUUGGAAUAAGGGCGUGAAAGCAGGCGGGCUACUUUAGCAUCUGAUGCCAGGGAUAUGAGAGAGUAGCCCAGUGUGUUCAUUCAAAAA
rnacentral:lncRNA from 1 species